GACGUAUUGGGCCAGCGUUGCUCGGAAUUACUGGGCGUAAAGGGUCCGUAGGCGGUGCGGUAAGUCGGGAGUGAAAUCUCUGGGCUUAACUCAGAGGCUGCUUCCGAAACUACCGUGCUAGAGUGCGAGAGAGGCAAGUGGAAUUGCGGGUGUAGCGGUGAAAUGCGUAGAUAUCCGCAGGAACAUCCGAGGCGAAAGCGGCUUGAUGGAUCGCAACUGACGCUGAGGGACGAAAGCUAGGGGAGCAAACAGG
rnacentral:rRNA from 1 species